rnacentral:rRNA from 1 species
UACGGAGGGUGCGAGCGUUAUCCGGAAUUACUGGGUUUAAGGGUGCGUAGGCGGCCAUGUAAGUCAGGAGUGAAAGUUUGCGGCUCAACCGUAAAAUUGCUUUUGAUACUGCAUGGCUGGAAUCAGGAUGAGGUCAGCGGAAUGUGGCAUGUAGCGGUGAAAUGCAUAGAUAUGCCAUAGAACACCAAUUGCGAAGGCAGCUGGCUAGACCUGUAUUGACGCUGAGGCACGAAAGCGUGGGGAGCGAACAGG